GUGCCAGCAGCCGCGGUAAUACGUAGGGUGCAAGCGUUAAUCGGAAUUACUGGGCGUAAAGCGUGCGCAGGCGGUUUGCUAAGACCGAUGUGAAAUCCCCGGGCUCAACCUGGGAACUGCAUUGGUGACUGGCAGGCUAGAGUAUGGCAGAGGGGGGUAGAAUUCCACGUGUAGCAGUGAAAUGCGUAGAGAUGUGGAGGAAUACCGAUGGCGAAGGCAGCCACCUGGGUCAACACUGACGCUCAUGUACGAAAGCGUGGGGAGCAAACAGGAUUAGAAACCCUAGUAGUCC
rnacentral:rRNA from 1 species